GAUGAACGCUGGCGGCGUGCCUAACACAUGCAAGUCGAGCGAUUCUCUUCGGAGAAGAGCGGCGGACGGGUGAGUAACGCGUGGGUAACCUGCCCUGUACACACGGAUAACAUACCGAAAGGUAUGCUAAUACGAGAUAAUAUGCUUUUAUCGCAUGGUAGAAGUAUCAAAGCUUUUGCGGUACAGGAUGGACCCGCGUCUGAUUAGCUAGUUGGUAAGGUAACGGCUUACCAAGGCGACGAUCAGUAGCCGACCUGAGAGGGUGAUCGGCCACAUUGGAACUGAGACACGGUCCAAACUCCUACGGGAGGCAGCAGUGGGGAAUAUUGCACAAUGGGCGAAAGCCUGAUGCAGCAACGCCGCGUGAGCGAUGAGGGCCUUCGGGUCGUAAAGCUCUGUCCUCAAGGAAGAUAAUGAUGGUACUUGAGGAGGAAGCCCCGGCUAACUACGUGCCAGCAGCCGCGGUAA
rnacentral:rRNA from 1 species